rnacentral:rRNA from 1 species
CCUACGGGUGGCAGCAGUGAGGAAUAUUGGUCAAUGGCCGAGAGGCUGAACCAGCCAAGUCGCGUGAGGGAAGACGGCCCUACGGGUUGUAAACCUCUUUUGUCGGGGAGCAAAGCGAACCACGUGUGGUUCAUGGAGAGUACCCGAAGAAAAAGCAUCGGCUAACUCCGUGCCAGCAGACGCGGUAAACCGGAGGAUGCGAGCGUUAUCCGGAUUUAUUGGGUUUAAAGGGUGCGCAGGCGGAGGUGCCAGUCUGAGGUCAAAUUGCGGGGCUCAACCCCGUACUGCCGUUGAAACUGCAUCCCUUGAGUGCGCGAGAAGUAUGCGGAAUGCGUGGUGUAGCGGUGAAAUGCAUAGAUAUCACGCAGAACUCCGAUUGCGAAGGCAGCAUACCGGCGCGCAACUGACGCUCAUGCACGAAAGCGUGGGUAUCGAACAGGAUUAGAUACCCUUGUAGUC